AUACACAUCACACUAUAAAUGUGUAAAUAAAUGUAAUGUGUAUAGAGCAGACAUAUUUUCACAUGUAAAUGGGUAACUAUGGGUUUAUUAAACCAAAACUAGAGUUGUGAUGGUUGGAGAAGUGAAAAUACGACCCAAAACGGCUUUUCAUAGUUUUAUUUUGUUUCUGUCGACUUUGAAUGAAGUGCGUUUUACGAUGCUAAAAUUACUGUUUAUUUACAUGGAGUCUGAUGGAUUUAGCGAUCGCAAUUAAUUGGAUGUUUUUAUGUUUAAAACAAGCAUCUUAUACUGAAAAAAAUGAUUUUGUGGUGUAGUAAUAUUUAUUAGGCUAACUGUCAGAGUUUUUAUUUUCUAAUUGUAAGUAUCGGUGAGAACUGGAAUUAUUCAAGUAAAAACUAUAUAUGUCAUUCAUGUAAUAAAUAAACUGUAUGUGAAGAGUACGUUUUAUUAUGUUUUUUCACAUAAUAUUCAAAGGUUCCAUAGUCAUUGCACAUGAACUUAGAAAUACCAAGUAAGUUUUGGUAGUGUUGGGUGUUUUGAAUCCGCGCAUGCGCCUUGUGACGCGCAUACGGGACGCAUGCGCUUCGUUGUCCGCCAAAACACAAGAAGACGACGACGGCGGUCAGGUUUAAUGGAGGCAGGACCAGCUCAAUCAUCUUGAAGAUAUUCAGCAAAAAAGGCGGCGUAGCUGGGACCAAAAUACGACCACUUCUGGAUUCACUCAGCCAGCGACACAUUGAAGCGAGACGGGAGGCCAUUAUUCGCGCCCUGAUGGAAUUCCUGGGGGAGUCUACAGGGGAACUCAUCAAGGACUACAAGGAUAUCAGCAGAGAGGAAGCUCAAGAGGACCAGGCUGAGCAAGUCAGAAUCAGAAUC